GGAAAAGAAACUAACACGGACUCCAUUAGUAACUGCGAGUGAAGUGGGAAAAGCUCAAAUUUAAAAUCUGACAACCUUUGGUUGUCUGAGUUGUCAUCCUAGAGAAGUGCUACCUGUGUUGGACCAUGUAUAAGUCUCCUGGAAUGGAGUGUCACAGAGGGUGAGAAUCCCGUCCUUGACAUGGACUACCAGCACAUUGUGGUGUGCUCUCAAAGAGUCGAGUUGUUUGGGAAUGCAGCUCUAAAUGGGUGGUAAAUUCCAUCUAAAGCUAAAUAUUGGCGAGAGACCGAUAGCGAACAAGUACCGUGAGGGAAAGAUGAAAAGAACUUUGGAAAGAGAGUUAAACAGUACGUGAAAUUGUUGAAAGGGAAACAUUUGAAGUCAGUAGUGUUGGCUGGGGAUCAACCUAGGUUUUUCUGCCUAGGUGUAUUUUCUGGUUGACAGGUCAACAUCAGUUUUGACCACUAGAAAAAAGUCAAGGAAAUGUGGCACUUUUGGGUGUGUUAUAGUCCUUGGUUGUAUAUGGUGGUUGGGACUGAGGGAUGCAGC
rnacentral:rRNA from 1 species